CCUACGGGUGGCUGCAGUAGGGAAUGUUGCGCAAUGGGCGAAAGCCUGACGCAGCAACGCCGCGUGAUAGAGACGGACUUAGGGGUGGAAAGAGCUGUUAGUGGGGACGAAACGGGACGGUACCCACAGAGGAAGAACCGGCUAACUCCGUGCCAGCAGCCGCGGUAAUACGGGGGGUGCAAGCGUUGUCCGGAAUCAUUGGGCGUCAAGAGUUCGUAGGCGGCACGGAAAGUCUGGUGUUAACGGCAGAGGCUCAACUUCUGUACGGCACGGGAGACUUGCGAGCUAGAAUGCGGUAGAGGUAACUGGACUUCCUGGUGUAGCGGUGCAAUUCUUAGCUAUCAGGCGG
rnacentral:rRNA from 1 species